GCGAACGCUGGCGGCAGGCUUAACACAUGCAAGUCGAGCGGGCCCUUCGGGGUCAGCGGCCGACGGGUGAGUAACACGUGGGAACGUACCCUUUGGUUCGGAAUAACGCUGGGAAACUAGCGCUAAUACCGGAUACGCCCUUUUGGGGAAAGGCUUGCUGCCGAAGGAUCGGCCCGCGUCUGAUUAGCUAGUUGGUGGGGUAAUGGCCUACCAAGGCGACGAUCAGUAGCUGGUCUGAGAGGAUGAUCAGCCACACUGGGACUGAGACACGGCCCAGACUCCUACGGGAGGCAGCAGUGGGGAAUAUUGGACAAUGGGCGCAAGCCUGAUCCAGCCAUGCCGCGUGAGUGAUGAAGGCCUUAGGGUUGUAAAGCUCUUUUGUUCGGGACGAUAAUGACGGUACCGGAAGAAUAAGCCCCGGCUAACUUCGUG
rnacentral:rRNA from 1 species